CUCUCUUUCUCUAGAUCUAGAUCUGGAGCAAACAUCAAUGAAAUUGAAAACACGCAGUGAUGAACACCGAUUUGAAGAAACCCUAACUGAAGGUAACCAGCCGGAGCCGAUUUUGAUGUUUAUAACUGGCCUUAUAGGAUGUUCUAGGCUUUUAAAAUCGAUAAACAAAUCGAAGCUAUUAGGAUGUUCUGUUUGAUUCUGUCCAAGCUGUUGAUUUCAAAACAUAAUGUGGGUGGAUCUCCUGUAUCAAUAUUUUCACUCACGGGAAGUAAUGCUGGUGAUGGACGUUUAGCUGCUGGUCUCAAACGGCUUACAACAGUCAGACAUCCAAACAUUUUAUCAUUUCGUCAUAGUACUAAGGCUGAAGUAAUUGACGGCUUCUCUGCAAAGCUCACUGUAUAUUGCCACUCAACCUGUUACGCCACUUGCGGAAAAAAAAAUCAAGGAAUUAGGAUUGCAAGGUACACAAAGGUAUAGGCUCAUAUCUAGCUGAUCUUAUUGUUGUUUUUUCUUUGUUUCAUGAAAGGAAAUAAAAUAAAAAUUAGAGUAUCACACUCUCCAACUCAUUAAGGAAGCAUGAAAGGAAAUCAACAGAAAGAAAAAAAGCAUGUUACAAAUUUAGCAUUAGCAUGGUUCUGGUCGGAGAGAGAGAGAGAACGAGGAGAGGGAGAGAGACGAGAAGGAGAACAGGACAGCGAGGGUUCUGGUCGGCGAGUGGCUGUAGUGGGGGAAGGAGAUUUAAGGGUGCCACUGAUUUCUCCAUCAAAUCAAAUCUGGGUUCUAGGGUUUUUUUUGUUGCGAAAAAGGUAAGUUUCAUCCGAUUAUUCAAGACAGACAAAGAACAACAGAGAGAAGCAGCAUAUGGUAGCGAGAGAGAGAGAGAUGAGAGCAGGCAGAGAGACGUCGGCGGUAGUGAGACGGUGGUGGCGUUGAGGGUUCCGUCAACUGUGAAUUAGAUCUUCGAGGAAAAAAGAUUACUCUUAUAGAGAAUCUAGGUGCUACUGAGGUUAGUGUUUAUGUUUUCCGAUUUCUAGGGUUUCAAAUUGUGCGAUUGAUUCAUAAUGUAACCGUUGGAUUUGGCGUUUUGAGUUUGCUAUGAAUUGGAAUUUUCGAAUCGACCUGUAGAAUGUAGCAAAUGCUACUUUUUAGUGAGGUAUAUAGUGUUUUGAGUUUUGACAUUGAUAUUGUGUUUCAUUGAGAAAAAAAUUGUGUGCAUUGCCAUUGUGUUAGGUACUCUCUGUUUGGUAUUUAGGUUGUUUUCAUGUUCGAAUGUGGUUGUUUAUUGAUGUUUUAUUUCGAGUUAACACUGCUAUACAUUUGUUCUUGCUCUCUCCUAUAUACCUUAGCUAACUGAAGAACUGUCAAAAGUGGAUGAAAAGCUGAAGUUGACCGAAUCUCUUCUCGACAGCAAGAAUCUUGGAAUCAAGAAAAUCAACGAUGAGAAGAAAGCAUCAAUGGCAGCUCAAUUUGCAGCAGAAGCUACUUUACGAAGAGCCCACGCAGCUCAAAAAGACGACGACAUGCCCCCAAUCGAAGCCAUCCUUCCACCUUUGGAAGCCGAACUCAAGCUAGCCAGACAAGAGGGAACGAUGAGGAUGCGAGUGACCCAACUGCAUUUAAAGAAUUCACAAUGGACCAACUUAAAAAUGCAAAGGGAAUUGGGUGAACCAAAUGUGUUACAACUAAGUAAAAUGUCUUUGUAGUUUUUAAUUAAAGAUUCUAUACUAAGUGAAGUGAGGUUAUAUAUGUUUGGAUUAUAAUAGUUUUCUCUAGCCUCUCACAUGUACUAAGGGGUGUUAUAUAUGUUUGGAUUAUAACA